UCUAGCCUAGCAAAAUGAAAGUUGGGAAGAAAUAGGAUUACGUCUAAAUACUUUAGCCUGAGAAUGAAUACUAAAGAGGAAGAAGUAUGAUUGAAAUUAGAGGAUAAGGCAAGCGAUACAGGCAGUCCUGGAUGCGAAACUCCAGCUGCCCUUCCUGAUUAAUUAAGUAACCAUUUUGGGGAAGACAUGUGAGGGGAUUUCUACCGUUGCUGUUAUCAUGAGAAGUUGGCCACAGAGUUGAGAAGUUGGGUAGGCACUGCUGACUGCUUCUUUGAAUCAUGAACUUGAAGAGCUAGUGACUGAAGAAAUGAACUACAAAUCUGCAUACAUUAGAAGCUCAUUCAAAGAAGUUGCAUACUGACAAGAAAUACUGUAAGAAUCUCAAUGACCUCGGUGUUUCAGUGCUGCACUUAAGUUUAGUCGCUGGACUCUUCAUGUCAGGAAUCCUUCAGAUUUGCUGGGAGAGGGGACUCCUGCUAACUUUCAGGAAGAACGGCAGACACAAGCAGUGAUACUGGGCAAUCAAAUUUGAGAGUGGAUUUGAAAAGGAAUGUCUGUACACCGCACCAUUGCACUUUGCCGUGAUAUUUUAAUAAGAUGUUCUGACAAGAGAACUGAACAUUGUAAAUGUGUCUGGAGACUCUGAAUAGCCACUUUCAACACUUCCAAAUAGCCUAAUUUUCUCUGCAUGACAUGUGCUGUAAAUAACUCAUCAUCCUCCUGGGUGGGGUGAACUAACCCAGUGUGUUUGUUUCUGAAGAGGAGGAGGGUUUGCUCACCCAAGACCUCUCUCUAUGGCAUCGUGUGCAGAGAGCAUUCUUCUCUUUAGGGACAGGGAAGGGGAA